CGCCGAGUGGCCGAGGUGAGGAGGGGAAGAUGGCGGAGUGAGAGGGAGAGGCGGGGAGGCCGGGGCGGCCGCGGCCCUGGCCGCGCUCAGGCUCACUGAAGAGAAGGUGGAUUGAUCAAAAAUAAUGCUCUCCAGGUCUGUUUUCCCCAUCUUCAUGACAAGAAUAAGACUUUCCCAACAGUGUGAGCAUGGACGAUCAAGCUCAUCAUCAGCUGAAAUACUUCAGUGCCUCAGAGAGAAAACAAUGGUGAUAUUCUCUCCUGACAUUCAAGAAGGCGAUCCUCUUGCUUGCUCAUAGGCUGUGAGAUGUGGAUGUUUCUCUUCUAGCAAGCAAAAACCUGUCGUUCAUCUCCAUGGAGCUUAAUGAACAAAGAUCUCUUUACUUCCUGUUGCAACCAUUUCACCCAAUGUUUCAUUCACCAGAUGACUUCUCCCACCGAAGUACCCCACUGUUUUAUUGAAACUCAAAAGCAGAGUAACAGAAAUCAACAUUUGUUUCCCUGAAGAAAUGUCUUCUGUGCCAGCUCUUCAUCCCGCUUUCUGCAUUCUGUUCUAAAAUGAGAAAUACUUUGUAAUCAGGUGCAAGUGGAAGCUGGUAUUCUUCACUGAUAUAUCCUUCUUCAUUUUAGGAAGGUUAAGUACUUCACUGUGUCAUACUGGAAUUCUUAGCAGAUAAAGUGUCUUCAUGCAUUGCUGUAUCAGAUUGUCUUGACAUGUAUGGAAAGUUGCAGCAGGAAAACUAGAAGACAUUUUCUGCUCUGACAUGAGGAAGAAACUUACCGAACAACUGGGGACAACCCAUACAGGUAUUUUCUAGUCCAGGACCCAGGCUUGACUUUGUAGAUGAUUGUCUUGAUGUCAGCUCACAUAAAGCAGCUAAUGCACAGGAACAAACACGGCAUCACCUUGACUAUAGAGCAUAAAUGCAUUGUCCCAGUCUGUGAGCAAAAUGUGUAUUUUUGCAUGUGCAAUCCUAUGUAAGCGUGGAUGUGAGGAGCUUUCACCAGAAGGAGAAGUUGCUCUGCACCACUUCAUUUUUAGUGAAGAAGAAUGAAGCGUUAGAGGCCUCUGGGGUAUCAGAAUAGUGAUUAGGUUUACAUUAAAUCAUUCUCUCCCUCUGAGUUUUUAUGAAUCCUUAGCAGCAAAAGGAACAAAGGAACAAAAGGGAGCAGGAAUACUUAGGACAGGCCUUUUUCUGGUUCCUCUUACUCCUUCCCAAACUGAAGCGCAGUCUGUUGUUCUUACGUUUACACAACAUUCUUUGUCUCCAUUAUUUGUGAUUUUAUAUAAAAUGUUUUCUCUCAUAGUGAGAUGGGAGCAUGGAUUGUUUACAUGCUCCCUGCUAUGUAAUUGUAUAUGGCAAGUAAGAUUUCUUGGCAAAAAAAAACCCACAACAAAAACAAAGCUGGGAUGUGUAUUCUAUUCUCUGUCCAAUCUUGAGCUCUUCUUAGUGCACCUUAUCUCAAGCUUGUGAUUUAAAAAAUGUGAUUUACUAGGUUAAAAUAAUAUUUUCAAUUCUGGAUCAAAUAAGUUAUAUAAGUUCUGUUAAUAGGCUUUGGGAAAUAAUAACAUGGUUUGGGGUCGUCAUUUAAAUUUCUUGUUUUGUUCUGUUUUUCCUUUUAGAAAACUGCUGGAGAGAGCCAGGCAGCCUAAAAAUGGCUGAAAAAGCCAAUAAUUUAAAUCCUUCUUAAAUCUUUAUGAUAGAUUGCACGGGCAGCAUUCUGAUAUGUAAAAUGGGGUGACAUUUUAUGGGACCAAAUUCUAUAGCAGAUUAAGGGCAAGUGUUGAUGUUGAUUCUGAUCUUCAGAGUAGAGCUGAGCCAAGUCUGUGUUUAGACUGGGUUGUAACUCAAUGGCAGCUUUACGGGGCUUUUUGUUUCCAUUAAGAGAUUAGACUAAAGAGCAGUGGGCAAGACUGCAUACCAAAGUAAUGCAAGCUGUGGUGCCCUAAAAUUGUGUGUAACAUUGUGAUGAGCUGUGUAGUAAGAGUUAUAUUGAUGAGGAACCACCAGCUUGGCCUGACUUCUUUUAAGAACACAGGAUUUCUUUGCUUAAUAUGGUCUGAAUUUUCUGGUAUUGGAGGCAGCUAGAAAAGCAUACUUCCUUUUUAGGGCCUCCUUGUGUUGAAACUGAUGGGAUUUAAUGUAGAUGUCUGUAGAAGCAGGAUCCAUCUCUAAGUGAUGGAAAAUACUGUCCGUAUCGUAGGAUUAUAAGUGGUUAGGAGGCAUCUGGUAUAAGAAACAAUUAUUUUUAGAUCUGGGAAUAUUCUUUUCUUCCUUCUUCCGACACCUAUUCUUCUGACAUUAGAGUUAGCAGUCGUUUCUUGCAUAGCCUACUGACAAAAUACUUCGGAGACAGGAAGGGAUUUUUGUUUUCUGUGGACAUGUACAGUAACUAAAUUUGACUAGAGAGUAGACACUUAAAUCUCUUGGAUUUCUUUUUCCAUAGGAAUAACCCUCAACAUUUUGUAACCCUGCAUGGUAACAAAGUAGUAAAAUUGCCACUUUUUCCUGACUCCUAUCCAUGAAAAUGUAAUAACAUUCGUUUUCAAGUUUAAUUUUAGAACAUAAUAUUUUUUAGCAGGGCUACGAAUCUGUGGUUUUCACAGAAGUAAUACUCCAACAGUGCAUGCCCAGAAGACCCCCUUGCCAUACCCUUCUGGCCAGCACCUUUAUAAAACUGGUGUGUUAGGAAAUGCUGCCUCAGCCUACUUACUUCUUCUUGCUCCACUUUCUCUCUAUGUUGGUUGGAAAUCUUCCCAUGUGAAAGAUUACAAAAACAAGGGGCAUGUGCAAUAGAUCAUAUAUAUAUAUACAUAUAUAUAUAUUUUAAUACUUGUGGACAAAAUGAUGUUACAAGUUGUUUGAAAACAACAAAAUCACCAAUGUCUUCCAUUUUGAGAUGUGUAUAGUUCCAUAAGCAUUAGUGCUUUGUAGCAAACUGUAGUGCCAUGUUAGGAUCAGUGCAUGAGCCUAGUAGUAUUUUUACAAUUUCAGAGUGACAAAUUUAUUAAUAAACAGUGAUGAUAAUGUAAUUAACAAUAGAAAGGAUACAAUAGGAAUAGUCACAAACAUGGUCUAAAUAUGCAGUAUCCUCCCUUUGACAGUGGCAAUGCUAUCUUUAGAAAUUGAAUACGUUCACUUGAUGGGCUUCAUAGAGUCAUAGUUGAGUUUUUGUUUUUAGUCUGUCUGUCCAACUGCAAUAGUAAGGUAGUGUAUGUGAGCAUCCAGAAUUUUCAUCUCUAUCAGUCAGAUUCUUUUCUUUUCAGUCUCCAUUGAAGGUAUUUGUUUCCAUGUACAGCAUUUUCAAUUUUAUUGUUGAGCAUCCUGUGAUAUACUCAGAAAAAGUACGAAUAUGCUAAGGAGUCUGUUUGCAUUUUGUGCACAUCUCUGCUAGGUUCAGAUAAUAUACAAAAUCUGUUUGUUUUUUUUUUUUUUUCAGAUCUGACUAUAUAAUUUUAUAACUAAAUAUUAUCCUCAUUAUAAAAUAAGUCAAUGGUUGCGAAAUGCUAUUUGCCGAUUAUACAUAGAAGACUUUUAUCCAUUAUUGCAGGAAUGGGGAACCUUUUUUGCCUGGAGUACUUACUGAGUCUUUUAACACCUUUGGUGGAUCCUGCAUUUACAUACAUCUUCAUGUUGGUGAUAAUAAGAAAGAAUUUAAGUCAAGGGCUUAUGAAAAACAACACUGCAGACUGUAUCUGUGCAGCAGGCUAUCUCUAGCCUAUAGAUCAGAGAUUCCCCACCCCUGUAUUAUUGAGAAUUCAAUAUCCUGUAUUUUAGGUAACUUCCAGUAUUGCUUUCCAGCUCUAAGCUCAAUUUUAGUGAUUUUAGUCUCUCCCUCUGCUUUUUUCAGAAGGAAAGUUGAGACCAGGGAAAGUCCAAAUGAUUUAGCACUCAAUGGGCAGCUUGAACUGGUCAAAUAAGAAUCUGAUAUGAUUCUUGAGAUGUGCAAUGCUCUGUGGAUGGCAUCUUCUGAUUUCCUAGGAAAAAGUACUUUGUUUGGUGCCAGUGUUGCUCUUCACUAUUUCUCUUUCACAAGAACAAAAUUAUAUUUCAACAUAGAGAGGAUACUGCAUCUUUUCCUGAGACCUGCCUGUAAAUGGCCAUUAGGGGGAGGGAGGGAAUGGGUAGCUUGGUUUUGUAAUUUUUAUACAAUUUAUCUCUAAAGUAAUCAAUCAAGAAGCACGUACUUUGGUGCAAAACCAGUCAUUUGUGAAGAGUUCAUGUAUGUAACAGAGGGAAACAACCAACCAACCAUCUGCAUCUGAUAGAUUUCCAAGAAAACUGGAGAGGUGGGCCAUUUACAGCAGAGCUCUGGGGGACCUGUGCUGAGAGUUAGGUUCAAUUCUACAUGGAAGUAGCUGUACCAUUGAAUAAAGUAGUUUAGUGCUUGGGAGAAUCAAUUGAAAAAUACCUCUGAAACUGGAAUGCAAAAUAGCACAGUAUGUAGGGGGAGGAAUCCCUGAUGCAAACAAAGCCAUAAGAUGAUUUAAUAAGAAAAUAGAACUUUAGUAGCAAUAACUGUUUUGCAUGUGAUAGUAAAUAACUUGCAUUAGCAAGACUGUACAGUAGAGUAAGUGGGUAAUAACCAAAUAAGUUUGUGGUGCUCUGUGCUGCAGGGAGUUGGAUGAAGAGUCUCUUUCUCAGAAGAUCAGUGAAUUCCUCUUAUGUUCCUCUCAUUGGAGGGAAUUUGGCACUUGAAUACUUAGUUAAUGAACCUGAUUAAAAAAAAAAAAAAAGCAGCUUGUCAGUGAGUGCUGGGGGAAGGGCAGACAGUUCUUUUUGAAAGGAUAGCUGGAGUUUCCCUAUUUUUUUUCUUUUUUGUAGUCUAGCACUUGCUCUGUUUCUGAGAUGAAACUAAACCCUUCCAAAUAUUGGCCUGUGAACAGAACCUGAUUCUGAAGUUGGAAGCUUUUACUGUGGGAAGUACUUUUUGUUUGCUUUGUUUAAAAAGACCAAUCUGAGGUGGUCUUUAAAUAAAAAAUUAAAAAACAUUGUACAUCCCAAGCACAGCUGCAGAAUUCUAAAAAUGUUACUUUACAGCAAAAAAUAAUUUUAGCCUUGCUGAACACCAUUUCAAACCAUAAUUGGUUUCUGUUGAUGCCUGAAGUUUUGCAGAAGCAAGUACUGUGAAGUCUCAGGUGUUACAAAGGGUUAUUGAUCUACAGCUGUAGCCCUUGCACCCAGCAAAGUAUUUGCUGUCAAAGGGUUACAUAAAAGAGUUGCAGGAGUAGUAAAAUGUCCAUAGUUGACAGUGUUUUCAGUGCAGAUAUGUAGUCAAUAGCAACAAUAUGGCCCAACAGAUGUUCUGAAAGUAGGGAGGUGAAGCCCUUUGGCUCUUUGUAGGUUGAUAAUGGGACUGUGAGGGCUGUGAACAUUUUUACAGUAUAAAGUAACCAGAUAAGCAUGAGGAUAUCUAAAUUUAGUGUUGGCUUAUAUGUGUAGGAAAAGGUAAUUGAUUUGGAACAUUGUAAUCAUCUUAAGUUUCAGCUAUUGAAUUAUUGAUAAAAUUGGAAACUGGCCACAGGGGCCUUUGAUUGUUACCUGAUUACAUUAGAGAAAUUACACAUUCAUUCUGGAUUGUGGUUAGCAAGUACAUUUACAUAAUAAUGAAAACACUGUCAUGUGUAUACUUCAGAAGUAUGAACUUAGUGGCUGAAUAGAAUUAUUCAAAUAUUCAGUUCCUUCAGAGAAGAGAGGUGGGAGGGGAAGAAACCAACACAAUUGUAGCCAGGUGAGCUAUCUCCAUAUUCUUCCCAGUUCAGACUUGUCAUAACAAUCUGUAUUCUGUGGGCUGUUGGACUAGAAAUUACAAUUCACAGCAACAAAACAAAUCCCUUUGCCUUUCAGCUCUUGUAGUAUACAGCGCUCUCGUACCUUUGCUCCAACCCCCUUGAUUAAGUGGAAGUGUUAGAUGCUACCACAUUUCAGUGUGGGAUAUCAGUGCUGUACUGACCAGUACUGAUGUGCCCUCUUUAGCAGUACUUGUUGGGAAUUGCACCUUCAGGAAUUGCACCUUCUGCAACUGAGGAUAAUUGUCAAUUUUAGGACAAAAAUAAGUCUUGCAAAGACUCCUGGAAUGAGAAGAAAUUGUACUGAACUGCAGGACACUGACACUUUACACAAGGAUUACAUUGUCAAGAGCCAGCAGUGUGGUUUUUGGGCAGAGAAGGGAAAAAUAUGGAAACGAAGAACAAUUUUUGAUGGGUAACCAAUGUUUCCUGCAUCCCCUGCAACUGUCUGGUCUUCCUCCAAAACUAAUAAUCUGGCUUGCUGUUCAGGUACAGAGCUGCAUAGUGGCAGUUCCAGUUAUAUUCUACUGGACUUAUUUUACUGAGUGAGCCAGCUUUUUGUCCUGGUGGUGCUGUGACUGGCACACAAAGCCAGCAGUCAAACCGGGGUGUCUCAUUUAACAGUGCAGAACACUAACCAUGGAUUUUUAUGUCCAUUCUCUUUCAGUCUGCUCUGUGCUUUCUCCUAAGUUUUAGAGAAGCUGUCAGUGUUUCUGUCUUUGAGCCUAUGUACCAGGUUACAAUAAAGACAGAUUCGCUAAGACUUCACAAUAUCUAAGGUUAAAGAUAAAAGGUAACUUAGUGUUUAGUGUGUCUUACGUAAAUUCUGUCUGCUUCUCUUCACUUCUCCUCCAAAUGAGUGUGUUUGCAGGUCAAAACAAAGGCUGCUAGUUCAUAAUGCCCAAGGCAUGAAGAACUACAUCAAGAAACUGAAGGAAAGUGGCACAGGCCCACAAACCAAAUCUUAGAGCUAGUAUUCUAAUUAUGCAUGAUUCAAAAUGUCUAGUGUAAUGUAGUUAUUACCAGUAAAUUGAGAUAUGCAUUUAUACAUAAUGAAGCAAUAGGAAUUUAUAUACUGAUAGCUUGAACUUCCUGCUUUGAUUCUCAAAUUUUGUUUCUUUAGAGAAUGUGCUGCCUCUGUAGAGAAAGGGGCAGAAUGUAUAGAUAGGGACAGAAGCAUGGCACCAAAACUGUAAAUCAGAAACCAGGAUCAGCAGAACUCACCUUUAUAACCUCUUGUCUGGUUCAUAUUAGUGCCCUGAGCAUGUAAGAAGCAGGGCAUGAACUAAGCAUGUUUAGGGCAAGAUGAGGUUUCUCACCUGCUGCAGCUGUAGCAAGGAAAAGGGUGCAGAGUUUCUUACAAGGUGCAGGGGGGAAGCAAUAGGUGAAAAAAAAACAAAACCCCAAACCACAAAACUAAAUAAAAAACAAACAAACCAAGUAAUGGAAAACACAGACUCAAAUUGAGUUUAGUAUUUGCCAGACUGUAGGUAAUAAGCUUGGGUGUGGUGAGAUAAAUUAUUUGGAGAAGAUCAAAAUUAAAGCACAGUACUUAUAUUUCAGGUGUUGAAUAGCUUUUUAAUAGACAGUAUUUUCAGGUAACUCUCUAGCCACAUAGGCAGCUGUACUGAAGCAUACUGGUACCAGCCAGCAAUAAUGGCACCUGCAGGAAUGAACCUGAAAAUACUAGUAAUCUUGUAUAUUUUUUAAGUUCUUUCAAGAGAUUUUUAAAAACAGAAAAUGAAAUUUGAUCACUGAAGGUCUUUAUCUUCUGCAACGCAGGUUGCAAUAGCCUUUUUUUUCUUUGUUUCAAUGGUUAAAUAAAAGGGAAUUUGGGUGCCAUCUUUCUGUAAACUCUUAAGAGUGUUCUCUGUAACAUUUCCCAAGUCUUUUAGUGAAUAAUGCAAUGAAUUUCUUCUGGCAGUUUGAAAAUAACAUAGAAUGUGUGGCAUAGCCUAUAUCACUAAUACUUUUCCAACAGUAAACUUUUAUUCAAUCAUGUAGAAUACUAGCUUGUUACUGCAGAAUUCCAUACUUCUAGUUUAGCUUAAUUUUGCAGGUGGGUUUAACUUGUGCAGAACACUUCUCCAUGUACAGAGGCUCAGUCCUCUUUCUUAAAUAAAAGGAGGGAGUGUCUUGGAGGAAGAAAUUGCAUGUCAAGUUAACUCCUGUUCACACUUCCUAACUAACCCUCUGUAAAGCACCAUGAUUUUAGAUUGGUGGUUGCAUUUUUUUUCAUGAAUGCUUUUUCUACAUAUACAAGAAUUGCCAAAUCAAGAUAGGAAUAUUUUAAGAGAAGAUAAUUAUUUUAUGGUAUCAGAAGUUAAACUAAAUUAAAUCUUUUGAGCCAACUUGUUCAAGCAAAAAGGGAAUUUGUAAAACAAGUUUAGCACAGCAAUUAUCCACAGCCACCUAGUUCUUUGUAGAUAUUGUUUAGAGUGUUUCACAUGGUUUUAAAUUCUGUUACAUGUAUUUUCUUCUGUGUGAUGAGUAAGCUGUUUUAUCUAUUGUUACUGCUUAUCCCCUUAGAUGUAAAACUUUGGGAAUAAGCUUCUUUAGGAUGUUAGUAAAGAUACCCUCCUCUUGAAAAGUAUGAUGUAACAGCAAAGGAGUAUUAGUUACAGGUUCAUAAAAAUUACCUAGUACUUAAACAGGUGAGAAAAUACUUCUUAUAGUGAACUUCUGAUGGCAUGCUUACAUGGAUUAGUGGAGGAAUUUAUUGGUGUUACUAGAAACUGUAUUCCCAUUGCACACGUUUUACAUGGUAACAGUGAAAGAAUGUCUCCCUGCAAAUUCUGAUGUUUUUCCAAAAGGCAGCUUGCUUUUAUAUCUAUGCAUCUUUGAGGUUUUCAAGAUAAGAUUUUAUUCUUUUGACACUCUAAAGAGGAACUGUUUAAAAAUGAACUUGGAAACUCUGCACCUGUAUACAAAUUUUUUUUUAGCAAUAAAGCAGCACAGGCUGAGAAUGCA